rnacentral:pre_miRNA from 1 species
AAUAAGUGCAGUUUUGCACUAUUCAUGUUCAACGUUUGACCGUCCGUCUUAUUUGAAAAUUUUUUAUGAUUAUUAUUUUUAUUGCUAUUAGAUGAUAAAACAUGAAUAGUACUUUAUGUGUGACUAAAUGUUUUUAAUUUUUUCACAAAUUUUUCAAAUAAGACGGACAGUCAAACGUUGAACGUGAAUAGUGCAAAACUGCACUUAUU